CCUACGGGUGGCAGCAGUCGAGAAUCAUUCACAAUGGGGGAAACCCUGAUGGUGCGACGCCGCGUGGGGGAAGACGGUUUUCGGAUUGUAAACCUCUGUCCUCUGUGAAGAUGAUGACGGUAGCAGAGGAGGAAGCGCCGGCUAACUACGUGCCAGCAGCCGCGGGAAUACGUAGGGAGCGAGCGUUGUCCGGAUUUACUGGGUGUAAAGGGUGCGUAGGCGGCUUGGCAAGUCAGUAGUGAAAUCCAUGGGUUUACCCCAUGAACUGCUAUUGAAACUGUCGAGCUUGAGUGAAGUAGAGGUAGGCGGAAUUCCCGGUGUAGCGGUGAAAUGCGUAGAGAUCGGGCGGAACACCAGUGGCGAAGGCGGCCUACUGGGCUUUAACUGACGCUGAGGCACGAAAGCGUGGGUAGCAAACAGGAUUAGAUACCCCAGUAGUC
rnacentral:rRNA from 1 species